CCAGUACCUGCCUGCCAGCCCCACAACACACACACACACACACACACACACACACACACACACACACACACACGCACAUGCACACGCACACGCACACGCACACACUCCCUCUCUCGCUCGCUCUCUCUCACUCACUCUCUCCUUUCCAAACCAAGGAGCCACCAACCUGCCACCUUUAGCAAACGGAGUACCCCACCCCACCCCGGCACCAGGCCACCUCAUAUCACUCCCACAGCCUCAGUUCCCUCCUUGUCCCCUUGUCCCCACCAGAUGACAGAGGAAAGCAAGGUCUCAGUGCUCCGGAUCUUCAACAAGAAAGGAACCUACUGCGUGUACACUUAUCUGGGGCCCAGGAGCCAGUCCUGGGGGCUUGACCGAGGCCCUGGUCCCCUCCCAGGGACCUCUGCUUCCGUCCUCAGGGACCAGCAGCCAACAGACUGACGGACGCCGAGGCCGCUGCUUCGUCUCAGCAACUAAAAAGCCAGCAAGCAGCAGCUCGGGCGAGGGUGGGGAAGGAACUGAAAGAGCCCCUGCAUCCUGCCUGGAUCCUGCCCAUCCUCCCGCUGAGGGUGGCACGUCAGCUGAGGUAUCUGUGACGCAGUCCUGCAGUGACGAAACACCAUCACCACAGCCAAGAAGAUGGCCUGCUCCCUGGGGAGCUCCCGAUGGAGGACACCCAGACCUGCCUCUGGAAGCCAGGCAUCAGCACAGCAGAGGAGUGUCUGCAUGGCCCCACCCCACCCACUGCUCCGUAGGGUGUCUGGGCUUCAGUCGCUGAGGGUCUGGGCAGGAGCUACAGCUGUCAGUUAGAGGACUUUUAUUUUGGCUGUGCCGCGCAGCAUGCGGGAUCUUAGUUCCCCGACCAUGGAUCGAACCUGUCCCCCCUGCAUUGGAAGCACAGAGUCUUCACCACUAGACCGACAGGGAAGUCCCUAAUUUUAGGACUUUUUAUUUCUGUCUGCCUCGGAGGCCUUAUUUCUCAACGGUUUCCAAACUGUAGCUCUCUCAGAAGCUUCAUCUCACCUUGCUGGAGUCACGUCCAUUAGAGGUGAUUUACAGGAUGACACAGGGCCACGGGAGACAGGCCCUCAGAUGACUGCCUCGUCCUAGCUGGUAGCCUUGAGAAGGGACUGGGUCCUGGAAAGGGUCCUCCCAAACCUCUUUUCUCAUCUGUAAAAUUAAGGUCACGGUGGCUCCUGAUACUAGAGGGACCGUGUGGCCUAGAUGAGCAGCUCUAGUGCUCCUGUCCUCGCCCCUCCUACAAUCUGGGACCCUGUGACCACCUGAGUCAGAGCAAACCCUCUCCUCUGCUCAACCCCUCCCAAGUCCCCAUCUCACCCAAAGUAAAAGAAGCCAAAGUCCUUUCAGGAGCCCAGGACCCUAUUCUGCAUCAUCCCCCGCUUCACCUCUCUGAACCCUCCAUGGCACCGGUGCCUCCAACACACCUGGACCCCCUACCUUGGGGCCCUUGCACAUGCUGCCCCCUCAGUCAUAAGUGUCUUCUCCAAGUAUCCGUGGGGCCCUGCCCCACUUUCUUCAGCCUCAGCUCACAUGUCUCUUUCUUCGUGAAGCCUCCAUACCCUCCGUGGUCAAGAGGACCUCCCGUUAUCCUUUAUGAAAGUAAAGCGCUCAUCAUCACC